UACGAAGGGGGCUAGCGUUGUUCGGAAUUACUGGGCGUAAAGCGCGCGCAGGCGGUCUUCCAAGUCAGUGGUGAAAGCCCGGAGCUCAACUCCGGAACUGCCUUUGAUACUGUAAGAUCUUGAGUUCGGGAGAGGUGAGUGGAACUGCGAGUGUAGAGGUGAAAUUCGUAGAUAUUCGCAAGAACACCAGUGGCGAAGGCGGCUCACUGGCCCGAUACUGACGCUGAGGAGCGAAAGCGUGGGGAGCGAACAGG
rnacentral:rRNA from 1 species